rnacentral:rRNA from 1 species
GAUGAACGCUAGCUACAGGCUUAACACAUGCAAGUCGAGGGGAAACGGCAUUGAGUGCUUGCACUCUUUGGACGUCGACCGGCGCACGGGUGAGUAACGCGUAUCCAACCUUCCCAUUACUGUGGGAUAACCUGCCGAAAGGCAGACUAAUACCGCAUAGUCUUCGAUGACGGCAUCAGAUUUGAAGUAAAGAUUUAUCGGUAAUGGAUGGGGAUGCGUCUGAUUAGCUUGUUGGCGGGGUAACGGCCCACCAAGGCAACGAUCAGUAGGGGUUCUGAGAGGAAGGUCCCCCACAUUGGAACUGAGACACGGUCCAAACUCCUACGGGAGGCAGCAGUGAGGAAUAUUGGUCAAUGGACGGAAGUCUGAACCAGCCAAGCAGCGUGCAGGAUGACGGCCCUAUGGGUUGUAAACUGCUUUUGUAUGGGGAUAAAGUUAGGGACGUGUCCCUAUUUGCAGGUACCAUACGAAUAAGGACCGGCUAAUUCCGUGCCAGCAGCCGCGGUAAUACGGAAGGUCCAGGCGUUAUCCGGAUUUAUUGGGUUUAAAGGGAGCGUAGGCUGGAGAUUAAGUGUGUUGUGAAAUGUAGACGCUCAACGUCUGACUUGCAGCGCAUACUGGUUUCCUUGAGUACGCACAACGUUGGCGGAAUUCGUCGUGUAGCGGUGAAAUGCUUAGAUAUGACGAAGAACUCCGAUUGCGAAGGCAGCUGACGGGAGCGCAACUGACGCUUAAGCUCGAAGGUGCGGGUAUCAAACAGG